CGAGAUGUCGUAAAAACUGUA
rnacentral:piRNA from 1 species